rnacentral:rRNA from 1 species
UAGAAGCAGCCAUCAUUUAAAGAGUGCGUAAUAGCUCACUAGUCGAGUGACACUGCGCCGAAAAUGUACCGGGGCUAAACAUAUUACCGAAGCUGUGGAUUGUCCUUUGGACAAUGGUAGGAGAGCGUUCUAAGGGCGUUGAAGCAUGAUCGUAAGGACAUGUGGAGCGCUUAGAAGUGAGAAUGCCGGUGUGAGUAGCGAAAGACGGGUGAGAAUCCCGUCCACCGAUUGACUAAGGUUUCCAGAGGAAGGCUCGUCCGCUCUGGGUUAGUCGGGUCCUAAGCUGAGGCCGACAGGCGUAGGCGAUGGAUAACAGGUUGAUAUUCCUGUACCACCUAUAAUCGUUUUAAUCGAUGGGGGGACGCAGUAGGAUAGGCGAAGCGUGCGAUUGGAUUGCACGUCUAAGCAGUAAGGCUGAGUAUUAGGCAAAUCC